AAACACUGAAGAAUUCUAUGAAU
rnacentral:piRNA from 1 species